rnacentral:rRNA from 1 species
AACGAACGCUGGCGGCAUGCCUAACACAUGCAAGUCGAACGAGACCUUCGGGUCUAGUGGCGCACGGGUGCGUAACGCGUGGGAACCUGCCCUUAGGUUCGGAAUAACUCCCCGAAAGGGGUGCUAAUACCGGAUAAUGUCUUCGGACCAAAGAUUUAUCGCCUUUGGAUGGGCCCGCGUUGGAUUAGCUAGUUGGUAGGGUAAAAGCAUACCAAGGCGACGAUCCAUAGCUGGUCUGAGAGGAUGAUCAGCCACACUGGGACUGAGACACGGCCCAGACUCCUACGGGAGGCAGCAGUGGGGAAUAUUGGACAAUGGGCGAAAGCCUGAUCCAGCAAUGCCGCGUGAGUGAUGAAGGCCGUAGGGUUGUAAAGCUCUUUUACCCGGGAUGAUAAUGACAGUACCGGGAGAAUAAGCUCCGGCUAACUCCGUG